AAUUUUUGCUAUUGAAAACAUGUGCUAUAUGAGAUUGGAUUUACUGAUGUUGUGGAGAGAGGGUUUUGUAUCUCAUGCUUUACCAAUGCUAGAAUUUUGAUUAUCUGCUCUUCUCCAGUGGCUGAUCUACUGGAGCAGUCUAUUAGCAGGGCUUCUUUUGCCUACUUCGGUUUAAGAUGCUUCUGCAUGUAUCUUUAUGGUCUCUUGCAGUUUGGAGGAUGGUCUGUGUUUUGCUAUGUAGUCAUUUUGAGCAUUGCAGUAUAUUUAUGCAUGGUAUCAUCGGUUCUUUGAAUGGGAAGUGGUAGUUUUGAAUAUAUCCUUUAUGCGCUGGCUUCCUCUGUCUUUGAUCUAUUUUUUCGGUGAGAUGCAAUGGUCGUAGAUUUUUUUUUUCUUUCGAGGAAAAUUUCUUCAGAGCAAAGUAUGUGGGUUGUAAUCAUCUGCUAAGCUUUGUCAAUGGGCAAGCUUUUCAGCUUGCAGAUCUCUCUCUCUCUCUCUGGUGAUGCAACUUUGGUUGUUGAUGGAAAUGAAGUUGUACAAUCUGUAAGUUUCUUCUUGCUUUGAGUUUAGUACGUGUGUAUGCAGUUAUCUAUUUGUUUUUUUUCUUGUCACCUAAUUAUUAAGUUUGUGCAUCAUGGGUGUUCUCUUGCUGGUCUAAUGUGUUUGUCCAAAAUCUGCAAAUUUUACUUCAAGUAGCUUCUCUAUGAGCGUCAUCAGUUAAUUUUUUUUUUUUUGGUCGUUGUGCAUGUAUGUUAACAUAUAUGGUAAGGUAAUAUUUCUGAUGAGUUUUUAAGAUACAAUAAUGCAAGAAUCUCAUUGAAUUGCUCCUGAUUUAAUUACAUGGCAAUCAUUCGUGGUAUAGUUUUGGUGAUAUAUGGAGAUGGGACUUGAAUGGGAAGGGUUCUUUAUUUUCCUUAUUUUGAUGAUUCAGUCUUUAGAACUAGUGAUUGUUGGCACCUUAUGGUUUCUGCAGGCCUAUAUUUGAUAAAUGAGUAUGCAGUUUCCUAGUAGAUAAGGAUCAUGAUCUGACUUCUUUGAUACUAAUCAUAUGUUUUCCUUAUCCAGGAUUUGUUCUAGAUUUUGCGGAUCUCUUAAGGGUGAAGCCUUAGUUAUUUUGCCUCCUUUGUGUUUCCACAUAUUGGUGAUGUUUGCUUCUCUGCCUAAUUUGAAAAGGCAGCAGAAAUCAGCCUCCGAAGUGGAUGUUUUUUUUGGAUGUUGAUUGGUUCUUGGAGUUCUUAUUGUUCCAUGUCAUUUUGUUUCUUGAUGGUUUUAUUUACCUUUAAUUUGUUUUUUUUAUGGUCAUGAUUCAUUUUAACUCUUAGUCUUAUAGGUUUAAUGCAGCUAUGGUGUUGCCAUAUGGUGAACAUGAAUAUGCAUACUAUAGUUAUUGACCAUAUAAAAACAAUGGUUCAUCUCACUUGAAAACAAAUGGCGUUCAGUAUUUUUUUGCUGGUAACUUAAAGUUGGCUGGAUGACCAAAGUGGCAUGCUGUAGGUUGUAAGAAUAUGUAUGGUCACUUUUGUUUGGAACAGUAUCAGGUUUUCUGAGAUGUACCUGAGACUGAAACAGUUGAUUUUUGGCACUUGUUCAAUUUGUUGUUACAUGACAUUUUAAUUUCUUAUAGGGGUCUCUAAGAUGACUGGAGUCUGUUGAUCGUAACAACUUACGUCCAUUUCAGUUCUCUUGUAGGCAUUUCUAAAGUGCAUAAGCUAUAAACUAAUUUCACUAUAGUCAUCUCAAAUGAUGUUUGAUUUUUCAUUUUUAAGGUAAUCCAUUGCAGAUGUUCUUUUGAAUCAUUCAUGUUGCUCAGCAAUAUAAAAAUGUUUCUUCCCCUCUGUGUGGUUGAAACCAGUGUUCUUGAGAAGCAGUUUCCAAUCUGAGUUUCUGCAAUAAUUGAAUUGUCAUUUCUUCUCUUCUAUAAUGACUGAUCUUCUGGAGCAAUCUUUUAGCAGGGCCUCUUCCUAUGACUUUAGUCUGAGAUGCAUCCGGAAUGUCCACAUGUUUGCUAGAAGGUUAUGGUGGAUGAUGGUCUUUAUUCUUCCUAUAGUUUAGAACUAUGGAAGUUGCAGUGUGUUUUUUCUUGUCAUAUGGCAUGAUUAGUGGUAAUUUACAAGAUUACAUGCUCUAGUUGACAUCCAUGCGGAGAUUAUGGUAGAUGAUGCUAUCUCUUUUGCUUCCCUGGUUGUACACUAUUCUGUGGUAUGUUCAGUGAUGUGUCAUAUUUUUCUGAUAUUGCCUUGAAAGAGGUAAUCGAUAAAAUAACUAUUUUUCUUUGGUUCUAAUUUUUCAAUAGGCAACCUGUUAUGCCAUGAGAGGCAUUUGAUGUUGUUGAGAGGAUUUUCCUUUUAAUUGUUAAUGUCCAGUAGUUGAUUUAUAGUUGUCUGCUGCCUCUAUGGCUAGUAUCUCUCUCUCUCCCCCCCCCACCCCCUCCUUUCUCUAAUUAUUUAUUUAUAUUCAGACAUGCAUGGACAUAUGCAAAAAGGUGCACACACGCUGAUGUGAACUUUUGUUCCUUCAGAUAGUGAAGUUGCAUGAUCCGUAAGUUCUUGAAUUUGUCAGUGGAGUACAUGUCUGUGCGGAUAUUUGACUUGGUUAUUGUUGUUGAGUUAUUGAAUUUGUUCUCUUGCAUGGGGGUGCUUUUUCAAACACAAAUUGUUUUCCUUUCUUAAAUCUUCUUGUUCUCUCCAAGUACCUCUUGUUUAUGUGUCAAGUUAAGGAAUCAAGCAAAUAUCUUUGGAUAAAAAUAUAAAAGAGCAAGAAUAUCCUGCUGCUCUUCCCUUUAAACCCUAUAUGUGACUGUAAUUUGUGGCAUGGGCUUUCCUGAUAUCUGGACAAGGAGUGCUUGGUGUUGUUUUUUGCUUUCCUACUACUCUUUGAUAGUUUAUCUUUGAAAUUUAUGGUUCUUGGAAUUUUAUGGUUACUGAAGACCUAUCCUUGUUAAAUGGGUUUGCAGAAUGAUCUUGUCAAUUUGACUCCUGUGAUAGCGUUUCAGGUUCUCCAAGGUGUUUGUGCUUCCAAAUGAUGAUGAUUAUGUAUGCUUCUUUGCCUAAUGUAGAAGGGCAGUGGGCAAAAAGCCUUAGGAGGUUACUGUCAUUAGAAUGUAUGUUAGUGAUGGGAGUUCUUUUUGAUAUUUUUUGUGGUUAAGGAUUCUUUCUAUAACAUUGUUAAUUUGAUUCAUCUAAAUUUCAAUAGAUUCAAUGCAUUUAACAUGUUUCUUGCUAGAUGUACAAAGAUAGCUGAACCUAUUGAUCUGGCAAGAAUUUGCUUUUUAAUUUUUUGCCAUAGAAGCGAGAUCUUGAGAUCUUAAUGUUUUCCUUGUAAGGGAACUUUGAAAUGACAAGUGAAAAUGCAAGUUCUGGUCUUGGAAGUGUUGAUGUAGUUUCUGUUUUGUUUUAAAAAGUCAUGUUUCAUCGUUUCUUGCAGGACUUUCUUAGAUGUACCCUGCCAAAAACAAACAAAAUUGAUGCUCUUAUCUUUAAGAGUCUAUGAGUUUCUCUUUGUUUCAGUUGUUUCAUGGCAUUUUAAUUUUCAUGUAGGGAUUUCUAACAAGGAUAAUCAGAACCAACGCUGUAACAUAUUUCAUCAAAAUUGCCUGACAUGGUUUUAGAUCUUGUUCUUUUGAGGGUACAACAGAUGAUAAAGUUAAUCACUGAUGAUUUUUUUUAUACUAAUUUUCUGAUUUUCUGUCUUAUGUUGGUUGAGUUGCUGCAAUAUACUUGCUGUUUGAAUUCUUGCAGAGGGAACUUGGAAUCUUUUUUGAGUGAGUGGACUAUUUUACAGAAAUUUCAGUUGGAUAUAUCUUUUGUAUUUCAGAUAAUCUUCAAGCAACUGAGAUGAUUUUUGACCAUCCUUUCACUCUUUCAGAUUUUGGUCCAUCUUUUCCAUUCUACUGAUUUAAUAUGAAGGAAUUUUUUUGAACAAUGCUGGAAAAAUAUUAAUAUGUUUUCCAUUGGUUAUGUUUGUUGGGUUGAUUUGUAGCUAAACAUGUUUGCUUCAUGACAUCUCAUUCUUGUACUUUGCAAUCAUUUGGUUCAUGCCCGUGUUACAGCUAAUGUUGUUGGUAGGGGAUUAUUUUUGUUUUUUGAUAAAAAAAA